UUCCCUAUGGCUCAGCUGGUAAAGAAUCUGUCUGCAAGGCAGAAGACCUGGGUUUGACCCCAGGUUAGGAAG
rnacentral:tRNA from 1 species